GAAGGGAUUCUGUUACAUGUGAUGGUUGAAGGGAUCAAUUCAGUUGGGGAAAAAUGACAGGUUGGAGUAAUGGAGAUUGGUUUCUGUUCUUGUUGAUUGAGAGUGAUGUGUGAGGGAAUAGGUGAAUUCAGGGUAGUGUGUGAGCUGAACGAUAGAUCUGUUGGAGUUGGUUCAUUGGGUCAGGAUGGAAAAAAAAAAUCGUUGGUUGGGGUCAUCAGGUUUGGUAUAACAGAAUGAUGGAAUCUGUGUGCGUGUGAGAAAAGCCCCUCCUUCCAUUGCACGGGUUGAAGAUCAUAUUCGUUAAUCCCUUGUGGAUGAAAAAAGAAUAGAUCAAUCAACGUGUCAACAACCAAAAAAACCGUUGGAUCCUGCAUCAGGAAACCCAAAUUUUAUGAUGUCGUUGGGAGGGGAAUUAUAUUCUGAUGCCUCCAUCGUGGUGUGAAAAAGUGUGUGUAUCAUCAUGGGUGAUGUUUGUUGGGGUGGUUACCCCUGUGUGUGGACUGUGCACCCCUCCAAAUGGAAAGAGCCCUUACUCUUCUUUUUUCAAGCUUUUAUCUUUUUCUCCUUUUCUCUGCUUUCUUUUCUCUCUUUUUUUUUCUUUUCUUUUUCUUUUCUUCUCUUUUUUUUCUUUUCUUUUUCUUUUCUUUUUUUUCUUUUUUCUUUUUUC
rnacentral:lncRNA from 1 species